rnacentral:lncRNA from 10 species
UAUGUGUGUAUGAGGUGUGUGUGCAUGUGUGUCUGUGUGGUGUGUAUGGGGUGUGUGUGUGACAUGUGUGUAUGAGGUAAGUGUGCAUGUGUCCAUGUGGUGUGUAUGGGGUAUGUGUGGUAUGUGUGUGUGAGGUGCGUGUGCGUGUGUCUGGUGUGUAUGGGGUGUGUGUGGUGUGUGUGUAUGAGGUGCGUGUGUGUGUGGUGUGUAUGGGGUGUGUGGUGUGUGUGUAUGAGGUGCGUGUGUGUGCAUGUGUGUGGUGUGUAUGGGGUGUGUGUGGUGUGUGUGCACGUGAAUGUGUUUGUGUGUGUGUGUGUGUGUGUUGUGGGGUUGUCCCCUCCCUGCUGAUGAGCAGGUUGUGUUGCUCAUGAGCCUAGGCCUGGAGGCUAACUCCGUGUGCAUUCCUCCCGAGCAGUGAGGGGCACCCAAGUCGCCCCGCCCCUUCCCACUGACCCUCUCACCUGGGGGUUGUCCAUAUACCAGAGGAGGCAGUUAGCCUGGGUGUCCAGAAUGAAGUACCUCCGCAGAAACUUGCCGCUGUUCUCAUGCUCCUCGAUGUCCAGAAACCCACAGAUUCGGUUCUGCCGAUCCACAUAAGGCAUUCCUGGGCUCUGCUCUCAUCACCCUGCGCACAGGAGGGAGGUGCUGAUGAGAAGGAAGAUGAAGCAGCUCUGCCUCAGGACCUGCAGGAAUCUUUCCAGGAAGUUGGGCUGAGACUCUCUCACCAACUUCCUUCUGUGGGGGCACCAAAUGUUCCACUCCAGACCCUGGAAACCUCUCCCAAUGUUAAGCACCCCUAAAAAUCCAUUUACACGUAUUCAACUCACUUUUCCAAGGCUCUAUGUGCCCAGGAUAGCACUGGGCACUUUACAAAGCUCAAACUUUAGAUCAGGGGCCUGCAUUCAAAUUCCAGUUCUGGAUAC